GGUGACACUGCUGUCGGGAUACUGAACCUGGGAUCGUGGUGACACUGCUAUCGGGAUACUGAACCUGGGAUCGUGGUGACACUAGGUGUUCACUGCUAUCGGGAUACUGAACCUGGGAUCGUGGUAACGUUAGUGUUCACUGCUAUCGGGAUACUGAACCUGGGAUCGUGGUGACACUAGUGUUCACUGCUACGGUCUUCUAAAGUGGGGUUCUAGAGAGCGGGUAUAUCUCGUGUGUGUGUGGCUCAGUUGGUAGACCAUGGCACUUGGCAAUACCAGGGCUGUGGGUUCAGUACUCCAAUACCAGGGCUGUGGGUUCAGUACUGCAAUACCAGGGCUGUGGGUUCAGUACUCCAAUACCAGGGCUGUGGGUUCAGUACUCCAAUACCAGGGCUGUGGGUUCAGUUUCCGCUGGUGUCACCAGUACUGGGGAGGAAAAAAUAAUGUAAGCAUCAAUUAUUAUAUAUUUUUCUUUUGUAUGUUUACUCCACGUGUAACUCUGUGUUGAACUGCUUUGCUUUAUCUUGGCCAGGUCGCAGUUGCAAAUGAGAACUUGUUCUCAACUGGCCUACCUGGUUAAAUAAAAAUAGUGAGGUGAUUUGAAUAAAUGGAUCUGCUAAAUGGCAUGUGUCUGAGUGUACAGUGGUCUGGUCUUUCUCUGCUAAAUGGCAUGUAUCUGAGUGUACAGUGGUCUGGUCUUUCUCUGCUAAAUGGCAUGUAUCUGAGUGUACAGUGGUCUGGUCUUUCUCUGGUUCCUGUAGAAACUUGGAGGUAAACCCAGGAUGGAUAUGGAGCAAAUCAUUGAAUGAUAUCAGGCGGUUCCCGUCGCCUACGCAAGUGGUGCGCCAGGUUUCUGAGGGUGGCAUGGAGCUGAGCCCCGGCGCCGUGAGCCAAGACCAGCUGCAGAUGGUCAGAGCCCGGGUCCACGAGAGUGAGGCCAAGUGGCACAACGACCUGACCGAGUGGAAGCUCCGGCGGCACAGGUCUACCUGUGACCUGCGGAGGAAGAUGCAGGAGAGGGAUAACAUCGUCCUGAUGGCCAACGCAGGGCGGGUACAGUCGGGACGUUCAAG